rnacentral:pre_miRNA from 1 species
AAAGCACUCCCUCCGUCCGAAAAUACUUGUCAUCAAAAUGAAUGAAAAUAGAUGUAUCUAGAAUUAAAAUACAUCUAGAUACAUCCAUUUUAAUGACAAGUAUUUUCGGACGGAGGGAGUAGCUA